rnacentral:lncRNA from 1 species
UGUAUGUCUAAGCACCAGAAAGAGGCCAACAGUCUGAUCCUUCUUAUGCAUCACAAUAUACUGCAAAAGGGAAGAUGUGCUGUGUGGAAGUGGCAAGAGGUCAUUCCUUGUCAUAAUACAAGCAUGAUGAGAGCUUGUGGAGGGACUGCCAUUUGCUUUUGCACAUCACAUCAAAGAAAAAAUCAAGUUCUACCUCUUUAUUCACCCUUCUUGCAGAGCAGAGGCAUUGUGGAUGCUUGUUUCAAAUACUGUCUCCAUGGCUUGAUGACUUUCCACUCUUCCAUCAAGGUCUUCAGAAUCCCAGGAGUGUCCAAGAGGUGAAUCCCAUGAUAUCCCAGUCUUAAGCUGUGCCAAGGAAAAUUUAUGCUGGAAGUUAAGAAAAAUGUUCUUAACUGAAAGAGGAAUAAAGAAAUGGAAGGGUCUGCCCUGGGAGGCA